GACUGAGGUUAUUAAUCCAGAGACAGUCUGAAGUUCAACUUUGAACGACAGUCUCCGCCCUCAGCGGUCUGUCCUCCUCACCGGUUUCAGAGGAUCUCAGUCUGGGUGGGACAUAUUCUGGGGUUGAACCGAUGGGUCUGCUCUGGAGCCUCAGACCAGUUCCAGGCAGCAAACCUGGGCUCAGGAUGAGGAAGAUGAACGUUCAGACUCCCAUGGAGAUCAGGAUCUCGGUGUACCAGGGUCACCCAACUGAAGGCUUCAUAACUCAGGUGCUGCUGGCCAGCAUGUUUGUGGAGCGCUGGUACAUGGCGCCCGGCAUCCUCAGGGUCCCGAUCACAGAGGGCGGACUCACUGCGACCCUCUUCCUGCCCUCAGGUAGGACUAGAGGAGAGUCUGAAGGGAGGUUUCAGGUCUGACGGUCUGAGCAACACAGACCAGUGACAUCAGAGCGAUACUGAGGCAUUGAGGGAGCAGAUGUGCAGCAUAUACAGAAGACAAAUUAUGUGUUACAUUGUCUCCUCCAGGAAUGUGUCUUAUUUUUCUUAAAUGUUAUAAUUUUCGUUGCCUUUGUUUAAUCAACCACCCCCAUGUACUUGCCUAUUUUUACCCACCAGGCGGCACUGUUUGUCCUUUUGUAUGUUUUUAUUGGUUCAAAUUUAAGUUUUGAAGAGGAAAGUCAUGAAAGUUCAGACUUUGUUGUUAAAAUUUAGGAUAAAGAAAUGGGAAAAAGAAGUUUCCUGUCAAUUUUAAUGACUCUUGGUUAGAAGUUUAAUAUUGUGUUGAUAUGUGUAGGUGUGGUAAUACCCAAUUAAUGUAUUUAUAUAUUUUACUUUGGGAAAUAUCAGUCAAGUGAAGUCCCUCACAUUUCCGUUUCGCAGUGCUGAGGCGCUGAGGGAGCAGAUGUGCAUCAUAUACAGAAGGCAAAUUAUGUGUUACAUUGUCAUC